AGUAUUACCGCACCUCUGUCUGCCUUUACCACAGUUUACCGCACCUCUCUGUGCUCUGACCAAAAGAGAAGACACCAGGUGUAGCAGAAGAGAUCAGCAGUUGUACACAGUUUACACACAGAGCCACAAGCCUGGAGGAAAAGCUCUUCAUCUUCAGCCCAGAUUUCAAAUAAACUUACAAACGGGGGAGUUGAUCAUUAGGAUAAUAGCAUUCAAGAUUGUCAGCUUCACUGUGGCCCUCAUCCCUUCAUUGGAUGCAGAAAUACUCCACCAUUUGCAGCGAGAGCACACCCCUUUUCCUGAUGUGCAGGCUUCUGCAUACCCCUUUUCCAGCUCAGCAGAGCUCUUUGAUAAACAUCCUCCAGUCUAUCUCCUGCUCUGCGGGUUUGGAAGCGUCAAGUGGGGUAGUAAAAUGGUGCAGCAAUGGCCGUGCUAUUCAGGUGAGCACUGGAUACCCCUGAGCUGCGCUUGCUGAAGUCUGCACCCUCAAGAGAUCCCAGCCCCGAAGCCUGGCGGGACUCUGGCGCCUUUUCACCUCCACAUGCUGUGUCUAGCAUCUGUGCAACCCACCCAUUUUACACAUGACAUAUUUUCUACUUAUUAGAAAGAGACCCCCGGACCCUUGAACCCAAUAAACGUACAGGGCCUGUAAUCAUUCGGCAUCAUACACUA